GAUGAACGCUAGCGGGAGGCUUAACACAUGCAAGUCGAGGGGCAUCACGAGGUAGCAAUACUUUGGUGGCGACCGGCGCACGGGUGAGUAACGCGUAUGCAACCUACCCUGUACAGGGGGAUAGCCCGGAGAAAUUCGGAUUAAUACCCCAUAAUGAUAUUUUAUGGCAUCAUAAAAUAUUUAAAGCUCAGGCGGUACGGGAUGGGCAUGCGUAACAUUAGCUAGUUGGUAGGGUAAUGGCCUACCAAGGCGACGAUGUCUAGGGGUCCUGAGAGGGUGAUCCCCCACACGGGUACUGGGACACGGACCAGACUCCUACGGGAGGCAGCAAUGAGGAAUAUUGGUCAAUGGGCGCGAGCCUGAACCAGCCAUCCCGCGUGAAGGAAGACUGCCCUAUGGGUUGUAAACUUCUUUUCCAGGGGAAUAAAAUCUCGAACGAGUUCGGGACUGAAGGUACCCUGGGAAUAAGCAUCGGCUAACUCCGUGCCAGCCGCCGCGGUAAAAC
rnacentral:rRNA from 1 species